UCACCCCUCGCGAAGCGCAGCGCAUGGAAUCAGAGUCGCUCAUGGAAUCAGGAUUGCGACGAACCAAUUCAUCUUGCCGGAAGCCUGUCUGCACAUGGAAUCAGAAUCGCUCUUAGCUCUAGCUGCACCACAGAUGCUGAGAAGAUUCAAUCUGAGCCACCGAGCUGGAAUGCACCUCAUACGUCGGUGAAAUCGCCCCAACAGCAAGCUUCCAGUAUCACUCCUUCAUUUAUCUUCAAUCGAGGAACUCCUAGAUGAAUGCCUCUUUGAGAUCUUCAUACGGCUUCCCAGCUGUAGAGAAAGGAGCUCCUGUGCCUAUGUUAAGAUCUUCGAGCUGUUGAGCCUUGGUGUGAGGUUUGUACUGGACUUCAAUCCCGUCUUCAGGAAUACAAAUCGGAAAACCAACAGCUCGAGGAACUUCUUACUUCGGAGGUGAAUAUGGAAUCUAUCAUGAGAAAUUGAGAAUUGACUGAGACGAGGAUGAUGCAAGUAAGUUGGCCCUCUUGCUUCUCGCCUUUUCUACUUGGAACCGAAAAGUAUAAUUAGUCAUGGGAUGUCUUGUGCUGAUUGAGAGCAUGGGCGAGUUUUUAUUGCUUUGAUCAAGUACAGCAUACUUGCUUUGAUAAAUAGAAGGAUUACAAGAUGUCUGAAACGAGUUCUACAAGUGUCAUAGAAAGAAGGACAAGAUCUGUAGUGUGGGAACACUUUAAACGGAUUCUUGAUCAAGAUAAGGCUGAAUGUUUAUACUGUGGGGCACAAAUUCGUUGUGCUAGUAAUCACGGGACUAGUUCGAUGCAUCAUCAUUUAGGUAGAUGCAAGGAAUACCCAUAUGCAAAUGUUGAGAAAAGGAUAAAAAGUGCCUCGGAUCAACUUCUUGGGGUCGGUAGUUCAUUGGGUCCAUGGAAAAUUGAUCAAGAUGUUAGUCGAAAAAACCUAGCAAAAAUGUUUAUUAUUGGUGAAUUGCCUUUUAAGUUCGUAGAAAAUGAGGGAUUUCGGCUAUUCGUGAAUAGAAUCCAGCCAAAGUUUCUAAUCCCGUGUCGGAACACAUUGAGGUAUGAUUGUUACAAGUUAUACAU